rnacentral:rRNA from 1 species
CAAAGGCUUGGUCCUGACUUUAUUAUCAACUCUAGCUAGACUUACACAUGCAAGCAUCCGCACUCCCGUGAGAAUGCCCUCUAGUUCCCUGCUUGGGAACAAGGAGCUGGUAUCAGGCACAAGUUUUUAGCCCAUGACGCCUUGCUUAGCCACACCCCCAAGGGAAUUCAGCAGUGAUAGACAUUAAGCCAUAAGUGAAAACUUGACUUAGUCAAAGCUAAGAGGGCCGGUAAAUCUCGUGCCAGCCACCGCGGUUAUACGAGAGGCCCAAGUUGAUAAAUACCGGCGUAAAGAGUGGUUAGAGAAGAAACUAAACUAAAGCCAAACGCCUUCAGAGCUGUUAUACGCUUACGAAGAGCAGAGACACAACCACGAAAGUGGCUUUACUUAACCUGACCCCACGAAAGCUAGGGCACAAACUGGGAUUAGAUACCCCACUAUG